rnacentral:rRNA from 1 species
ACGGUCAGUAACACGUGGCUAACCUGCCCUUGGGAUAGGAACACCCCCGGGAAACUGGGGCUAAUUCCCAAUAGGCGAAGAACUCUGGAAUGAGUCUCCACCAGAAAGGGCAUCUGCGCUAUGCUCGCAGGUGUCGCCCAAGGAUGGGGCCGCGACCGAUCAGGUUGUUGGUGAGGUAAUGGCUCACCAAGCCUUUUACCGGUGCGGGCCGUGGGAGCGGGAGCCCGGAGAUGGGCACUGAGACAAGGGCCCAGGCCCUACGGGGCGCAGCAGUCGCGAAAACUUUGCAAUAAGCGAAAGCUUGACAGGGCUAUCCCGAGUGCCAUCCGCUGAGGAAGGCUUUUACCCAGUCUAGAACGCUGGGGGAAUAAGGAGAGGGCAAGUCUGGUGUCAGCCGCCGCGGUAAUACCAGCUCUCCGAGUGGUGUGGAUGUUUAUUGGGCCUAAAGCAUCCGUAGCUGGCUAGGUUAGUCCCCUGUUAAAUCCACCGAAUUAAUCGUUGGAUUGCGGGGGAUACUGCUUGGCUAGGGGACGAGAGAGGCAGACGGUAUUUCCGGGGUAGGGGUGAAAUCCUAUAAUCCCGGGAAGACCACCAGUGGCGAAGGCUGUCUGCUAGAACGCGCCCGACGGUGAGGGAUGAAAGCUGGGGGAGCGAACCGGAUUAGAUACCCGGGUAGUCCCAGCUGUAAACGAUGCAGACUAGGUGUUUGGACGGCCACGUGCCGUUCUAGUGCCGCAGGGAAGCUGUUAAGUCUGCCGCCUGGGGAGUACGAUCGCAAGAUUGAAACUUAAAGGAAUUGGCGGGGAGCAC